UACCUGGUUGAUCCUGCCAGUAGCAUAUGCUUGUCUCAAAGAUUAAGCCAUGCAUGUCUAAGUACAAGCCGCUUGACGGCGAAACCGCGAAUGGCUCAAUAAAUCAGUUAUGGUUCCUUAGAUCCACCCAUCCUACUUGGAUAACUGUGGUAAUUCUAGAGCUAAUACAUGCACUCAAGUCCCGACCUCGGUUCGCGCCGCAAGGAAAGGAUGCUUUUAUUAGAUCAAAACCAGUCGGUGCCGGGGCAACUCGGCGCCGUACCGUUUGGUGACUCUGGAUAACUUCACGCCGAUCGCACGGCCUUAGCGCCGGCGACGCGUCUUUCAAAUGUCUGCCUUAUCAACUGUCGAUGGUAGGUUACGCGCCUACCAUGGUUGCAACGGGUAACGGGGAAUCGGGGUUCGAUUCCGGAGAGGGAGCCUGAGAAACGGCUACCACAUCCAAGGAAGGCAGCAGGCGCGCAAAUUACCCACUCCCGGCACGGGGAGGUAGUGACGAAAAAUAACGAUACGGGACUCUUCCGAGGCCCCGUGAUUGGAAUGAGUACACUUUAAAUCCUUUAACGAGGACCCAUUGGAGGGCAAGUCUGGUGCCAGCAGCCGCGGUAACUCCAGCUCCAAUAGCGUAUAUUAAAGUUGUUGCGGUUAAAAAGCUCGUAGUCGGAAGUCUGUCUUCGGCCGGGUCGCGGCUCUCUGAAUUAAGGGAGUUUCCGUUAUGGCUCUGCGUCGGGGGGUGUCAAAGCCCUUCGCGCUUAACGGUCGGACAACACCGCCGGAGCGAUCGGUAAUCGGCCUGGGUCAACGGCGUCUGGGGCUUCGCGGUUCCAGGCGUCGCCGGGAAACGAGACCGAUCCGUAAUCGUCCGGGGUGCCCUUCACCGGGUGUCCCGGGCGGCCGGCAAUGUUUACUUUGAACAAAUUAGAGUGCUCAAAGCAGGUGCAUCCCGCGCCUGAAUAUUUACAGCAUGGAAUGAUGAAAGAGGACCUCGGUCUUAUUUUGCUGGUCUUUAUUCUUUAGACCCGAGGUAAUGGUCAAUAGAGACGGACGGGGGCAUCCGUACUGCGGCGACAGAGGUGAAAUUCUUGGACCGCCGCAAGACGAACAACAGCGAAGGCAUUUGCCAAGAAUGUUUUCCUUGAUCAAGAACGAAAGUUAGAGGUUCGAAGGCGAUCAGAUACCGCCCUAGUUCUAA
rfam:Daphnia pulex DAPPTscaffold_1577_Cont13141, whole genome shotgun sequence.